GAGGGCAUAGCUCAGUGGUAGAGCACAUGCUUAGCACGCAUGAGCGCCUGGGUCCAAUCCCCAGUACCUCCA
rnacentral:tRNA from 1 species